UCCCAGGCCAGGGAUCAAACCCAUGCCACAGCAGCCACCUGAGCCAUGGCAGUGAAAAUAGCAGAUCCUGAAACAAUGAGGCCACUAGGGAACUCUUUUUUUUUUUUAGGGCUACACCCAUGGCAUAUGGAAGUUCUCAGGCUAGGGGUCAAAUUGGAGCUGCAGCUGCAGGCCAGCACCACAGCCAUAGACAGCCACACCAGAUUUGAGCCACAUCUGCAACCUAUCCUCAGCUUGCGGGAAUGCCAGAUCCUUAAUCCACUGAGCCAGGCCAGGGAUGGACCACUAGUCAGGUUCUUAACAUGCUGAGCCAUAACAGGAGCUCUGUAACUCCCUUUAAAAAAAAAAAUUUUUUUUUUGGAGUUCCCGUUGUGGCACAGUGGUUAACGAAUCCGACUAGGAACCAUGAGGUCUAUUUAACCAUCCUGGAUGAUCUUCCCUGAGUUUUAUUCCCAGAACUCACCACAGACUCUACAUAUGACCUAGUCAGUGAGGAGUAUAGGAUACCUUGUUAUAAGCAAGUUUGUACAUAUAUUUGUAGUAAUAGAAAGCAGUUAUGUUUACGAGGUGAAAGGCAUUAUGUUAAGCACAUUACAUGUGUUAUCUUCUGUAAUCCUCAUAACCACCCUUCUAAUUAAGAGACAGACUUAUCCUCUCUUUGCAGGUAAGAAAACUGUGGCUGAGGAGUUCCCAUGUGGCACAUCCAGUUCAGGAUCCAGCAUUGUCACUGCAGGGGCUCAAGUCACUGCUGUGGUGUGGAUUUGAUCCCUGGCUUAGGCUGUGGGUGUCUCCUAAGAAAACUGUGGCUGAGAGAGGUGGCAUAACUUGCUUAAGACCAUCCAGUUAUAGGUGGCAGAGAACUUGAACCCAGGUCAGACAGGCUCUUUUACAGUGUGCUCUCCCGGGGCUUCUCCCCCCAAGUUUAUUAGAGGCACUCACUGCUUAGGGGGCUAUAGGCAGCCCACAGUGAGCUAUAUGAUCGUAUUGUCAACUGAUUUUGCUCAGGGUGACUCGGCUGCAAAAGUCUUUGGAUCUGACUGAGCUGCUCCCACAUGGCUGUUUUCUUUUUUGGGUUCACACCCUCUGUCACAUCCUUUCCACUAAGCUUAGCUCCUGUAGUAAUCUCCAAAGGCUGCUGUAACAAAUGAUCACAAACUUAGUGCACUUAAGACAAUACAAACUUAUUAUUCUACAGUUCUGGAAGUCAGAUGUCUAAAAUGGGCCUCACAGGGCUGUGACGAAGGAGUCGGCAGAGAUGCAUUUCUUCCGGAGGAUCUGUUCCUUGCCUUUCCCUUUUCUAAAGGCUGCCUGCAUUCCUUGGCUUGUGGCCACAACACUCCAUCUUCUUCUGUCAUCAUGUCUCCUGCUCUGACCAUGACCCUUCUGUCUCCCUCUUAUAAGAGCCCUCUGAGGAGUUCCCUGGUGGUGCAGCAGGUUCAGUUUG
rnacentral:lncRNA from 1 species